rnacentral:rRNA from 1 species
CCUACGGGAGGCAGCAGUGGGGAAUAUUGCACAAUGGGCGAAACCCUGAUGCAGCGACGCCGCGUGAGUGAAGAAUUAUUUCUGUAUUUUAAGCUCUAUCAGCAGGGAAGAAAAUGACGGUACCUGAUUAAGAAGCCCCGGCUAAACACGUGCCAGCAGCCGCGGUAAUAAGUCGGGGGCAAGCGUUAUCCGGAUUUACUGGGGGUAAAGGGAGGGUAGACGGCAGCACAAGUCUGGAGUGAAAUGCCGGGGUUUAACCCCGGAACUGCCUUGGAAACUGGGAAGCUAGAGUGCAGGAGAGGUAAGUGGAAUUCAUGGUGUAGCGGUGAAAUGCGUAGAUAUUAGGAAGAACACCAGUGGCGAAGGCGGCUUACCG